rnacentral:rRNA from 1 species
UACAGAGGUCCCGAGCGUUGUUCGGAUUCACUGGGCGUAAAGGGUGCGUAGGUGGUGAGGUAAGUCAGAUGUGAAAUCUCCGGGCUCAACCCGGAAAUGGCAUUGGAAACUACCUUGCUGGAGGAUUUGAGGGGGGAUUGGAAUACUUGGUGUAGCAGUGAAAUGCGUAGAUAUCAAGUGGAACACCAGUGGCGAAGGCGAAUCCCUGGAAAAUACCUGACACUGAGG